UACAGAGGUCCCGAGCGUUGUUCGGAUUCAUUGGGCGUAAAGGGUGCGUAGGCGGUCUGCUAAGUUUGAUGUGAAAUCCCGGGGCUCAACCCUGGAAUGGCAUUGAAUACUGGUGGACUAGAGUACUGGAGAGGAAACUGGAAUUUACGGUGUAGCAGUGAAAUGCGUAGAGAUGUGGAGGAACACCGAUGGCGAAGGCAGCCCCCUGGGCUAACACUGACGCUCGAGGCACGAAAGCGUGGGGAGCAAACAGG
rnacentral:rRNA from 1 species